AGUGAACGCUGGCGGUAGGCCUAACACAUGCAAGUCGAACGGCAGCACAGUAAGAGCUUGCUCUUACGGGUGGCGAGUGGCGGACGGGUGCGGAAUACUUCGGAAUCUACUUUUUCGUGGGGGAUAACGUAGGGAAACUUACGCUAAUACCGCAUACGACCUCCGGGUGAAAGCAGGGGAUCUUCGGACCUUGCGCGAUUGAAUGAGCCGAUGUCGGAUGAGCUAGUUGGCGGGGUAAAGGCCCACCAAGGCGACGAUCCGUAGCUGGUCUGAGAGGAUGAUUCGCCAGACUGGAACAGAGGCACGGCCCCGACUCUGACGGUGGGCAGCAGUGGAGAAUAUUGGACGAGGGGCGCAAGCCGAAUCCAGCCAAACCGCGUGGGUGAAGAAGGCCUUCGGGUUGUAAAGCCAUUUUGUUGGGAAAGAAAAGCAGCAGGUUAAUACCCCGCUGUUCUGACAGUACCCAAAGAAUAAGCACCGGCUAACUUCGUG
rnacentral:rRNA from 1 species